UCUUUCAGGCUGCGAGUUGUAAUUUGAAGACGUAUUUUGAAGUAAGCACAUGUCGAAGUUCCUUGGAACAGGACGUCACAGAGGGUGAGAAUCCCGUGCGAUGUGUUCACUGCUUCAUGUAAAAUGCAGUCGAAGAGUCGAGUUGUUUGGGAAUGCAGCUCUAAGUGGGUGGUAAAUUCCAUCUAAAGCUAAAUAUUGGCGAGAGACCGAUAGCGAACAAGUACAGUGAUGGAAAGAUGAAAAGAACUUUGAAAAGAGAGUGAAAAAGUACGUGAAAUUGUUGAAAGGGAAGGGCUUGAGAUCAGACUCGGGCAACCGGGCCAGCAUGGGGUGGGGGAGUAGGAUAACCCUGCAGGAAAGUGGCUUCGCUUCG
rnacentral:rRNA from 1 species